AUAGCGUAUAUUAAAGUUGUUGCAGUUAAAAAGCUCGUAGUUGAAUUUCGAGAUCAAAUUGUUGGUCGUGCCUUGGUCCGCACUGGCAUUAUUGGUUUCUCCCUUCUGACGAACCAUGAUGUCAUUAAUUUGGUGUCUUGGGGAAUCAGGACUGUUACUUUGAAAAAAUUAGAGUGUUUAAAGCAGGCUCACGCUUGAAUACAUUAGCAUGGAAUAAUGAAAUAGGACGUUUGAUUCUAUUUUGUUGGUUUCUAGGAUCGACGUAAUGAUUAAUAGGGAUAGUUGGGGGCAUUAGUAUUCAAUUGUCAGAGGUGAAAUUCUUGGAUUUAUUGAAGACUAACUACUG
rnacentral:rRNA from 1 species